AUUCCGCGAGUCAGGUGACCCGGCCCCGGGCUCUGGCCGGGACCUGCGGGGGGUGCUCUCCGCCCUCCAGCCCCCGGCGCAUCUCCCCGGCCCGCGCGUCCCGGCUGUUCGUGGCUUGCUUUUAGUCUCCAGGGAUCGUGGGACCCUUCUCCGCGGAUCUGUUUCAUCCUCUUAACCUGAAGGAGUCAGCAGAGAUUUCUCCAAGGGUAAGAGGCUACUACAAUAUUCUUCUCAGUGAGGUUGGGCACCUGCCGAGGAAACGAGGCUAAGAUCUUUGGCAAUAAAUACAUUCCGAAGACCUGCAUCAGUGCCCUGCUUGCAGAGUGUGGCAGAGAAGCUAAGCAUCUCAAACUCGGCAUUACAGACCUGAGAAGGCUGUAAGACUCUCUGGUCCAUCAUCACACGGGAGGAAUAUAAAUCCUCAGAGCUGUGCUGGGCAGCAUGUUAGCUGCUAGCCACACAUGGCUGCUGGACACUUGAAAUGUUGCUAGUCUGAAUUGUGCUGUGCUGUAAAUGCAAUUCACACCAGAUUUCAAAGAGUGCAGAAACUGAGUUUCAAGUAGAUCCAGCAACUUGCCCAAGUCGUAAAACCAGAAAGAGUGGAGCCGAGAAUCAAAGCUUGGAUGCCUGACCAGAGUGGACCUUUGAAACACUCCUCUGUAUAUUGUCUUCAGGCUGCCUGUAUUUACAAACUCUGAUAUUGACCUCAUUACUUCUCCCCGUUCUGCAGGCAGAAGACUGCUAUGAGAGCACUUAGGACCCAAGCGACAUCAGCCUUGGAACAGGCAAAUAAAAAUGGAAAGCUAAUCUUGGUGGCCUUCUCUUCUUCAAAAGGACAUUUUUAAGAUCCAAAUAGCCAUCAGUAUGGCCAAGUUGGUUGUUCGGCUAUGCAUAUCAGAAAUUCCAUAAAAUAUUCUCCAAUUACGGUGCUGGAGGAGGGUAUUAUGAGGAGUUCAUGAACAUCAAGAAGGCAGUUAAUGGGUUAUCAGAAGACUAAGAGAAGUGGUUUCCACAAAGCACAGAGUCAGAAGCAAUAAUGUGGUGUUUGGAGCCACAAGUACACCAGGUGCAGCUUUUCUUGCUUCCUCUACAGUGGAUCACAAUCUUGGCAGCCCAUUUAGAAUCACCUGCUUUUAAAAGUCACCAACUGCCUUGGCCCCAUACCCUAGGAUACUUACUAAAGUGGUCUGGUGUGGGGCCCAAGCAUUGGUAUUUUACAGUCUUUCCCUAGAUCAUCAUUAAAUGGGGCCACUGCUUUAUUGGUUGUCCCAGCCAUGUCAGAGCAUCUGGCUCUUGACUUAGCAUUGCAAGCAGAGGGAAAUUAGGUAAAAAGGGUGGGGUGGUUCUUGCCAUGGACCUUGCAAAAGUUGAUGCUCCAGAAAGAUUUCUUGACAGAGUGAUUCUAAACUGAGUUGCUAUUUUUGUUGGUAUCUCUCUGGUACAUUUGUUUUCUAUUAUGGAGUUAAACCUGCCCUCUGAGAUUCCUGUUUUCUUCAUUGAGGUCAAUUUCUGCUUAUGAGAUAUUUUGUGUUCUUUCUUAUCCAAAUAGUGCACCGGUAGUAAAUCUGUGUACUACUUUUGCUGAUGAAUUAUUUCAAAUCUAUUAAUGGUUUCUUGUCUAUGUUUUUCUUUUCCUUUUUUUUUUUGAGAUGGAGUCUCGCUCUGUCACCCAGGCUGGAGUGCAAUGGCAUGAUCUCAGCUCACUGCAAUUUCCGCCUCCCAGGUUCAAGCGACUCUCCUUCCUCAGCCUCCUGGGUAGCUAGGACUACAGGCAUCCACCACUACGCCUGGAUAAUUUUUGUAUUUUUUUUUAGUAGAGACAGAGAUUUCACCAUAUUGGCCAGGCUGGACUCAAACUCCUGACCUUGUGAUUCACCUGCCUCAGCCUCCCAAAGUGCUGGGAUUACAGGCAUGAGCCACUGCGCCCAGCCUUUUUUUUUUUUUUUUGGAUAAGUUCUUGCUCUGUCGCCCAGGCUGGAGUGCAGUGGUGCGACCUCGGCUUACUGCAACCCCAUGCUCAAGUGAUCCUCUCACUUCAGCCUCCCCAGUAGCUGGGACUACAGGUACAUGCCACCACACCCGGCUUUGUUCAUGUUUUUCAAAGGCUCUGUAUCCAUUUGGCUUCUGUUAUUCAUUUUCAUUCUUCCAUUUUUUGUUUGCUUUCUUUAAAAUCCUUAGUAGACUACAUAGUUUUAAAAAUCUAUCUUUGUACUGUAUGAGUGAACAUUUUUUUUCUUUUCUUUUUUUUUUUUUUUUUGAGAUGGUCUCACUCUGUCACCUAAGCUGGAGCACAGUGGCACACAACUCACUGUAGCCUCGACCUCCUGGGCUCAACUGAUCCUCUUGCCUCAGCCUCCCAAGUAGCUGGGACCACAAGUAUAUGCCACCAUGUUCACUUAAAUUUUUUAUUUUUUGUAGUGACAGGGUCUCACCAUGUUGCCUACGCUAGUCUCAAGCUCCUGGGCUCAAGUGACCCUCUUGCCUUGGCCUUCCCAAGUACUGGGAUUAUAGGUAUGAGCCACCACACUCGACCAUGAACACAGUUUUAAGAGACACUUUUCACAGCAGAUUGGUCAUGCUUAAGACAUAUGGCUGUACUACUGUGAAGAUAUGUAUCUAUAUCUAUAUAUAUAGUUUUUUUUUUUUUGAGACAGAGUCUCACUCUGUCACCAAGGCUAGAGUGCAGUGGGGCAAUCUCAGCUCACUGCAGCCUCUGCCUCCUGGUUCAAGCGAUUCUCCUGCCUCAUCCUUCCGAGUAGCUGGGAUUACAGGUGCACACCACAAUGCCCAUCUAAUUUUUGUAUUUUAGUAGAGAUGGGGUUUCACCAUGUUGGCCAGGCUGGUCUCGAACUCCUGACCUCAAGUGAUCUGCCUACCUCAGCCUCCCAAAGUGCUGGGAUUAUAGGUGUGAGCUACCAUGCCCGGCCUACUGUGAAGAUACUGAAAACAUUCCACAAGUUCUUUGUUUUGCUUUAAUACAAACUUUUGUAACUAUCCAGCUAUGCACUUUAAGCAGGUUUCUCACAUUCAGGAUGAGAAUUCUUCUAUCUAAAUUAUUAUUCUUUUUUUGCCUUCUCUUUCAAAAAGAGCCAUGUAGUUUUUUGUCUUAGACUUCUGGUUUGAGUUCCAGAAUAAAAAGAUGAAGGCUGUGAAAA